rnacentral:rRNA from 1 species
AGAAUCAACGCUGGCGGCGUGCCUAACACAUGCAAGUCGAACGAGAAAGUGGAGCAAUCCAUGAGUAAAGUGGCGCACGGGUGAGUAACACGUGACUAACCUACCCUUGAGUGGGGAAUAGCCUAGGGAAACCUGGGCUAAUACCGCAUAACACCUACGGGUCAAAGGAGCAAUUCGCUUAAGGAGGGGGUCGCGGCAGAUUAGCUAGUUGGCGGGGUAAUGGCCCACCAAGGCAGUGAUCUGUA